UCCGAGGUAGCUUCAGUUGGUAGAGCAGGCGGCUGUUAACCGUCAGGUCAGUGGUUCGAGCCCACUCCUUGGAGCCA
rnacentral:tRNA from 1 species